GGUCCAGUAAUCAUACAAACAUAGGAUCUAAGCGGUUUUCGUUACAAUUAUCGUAACUCAACUUAUCUCCCACUUGGGCU
rnacentral:sRNA from 1 species